rnacentral:rRNA from 1 species
AGCGAGCGCUGGCGGCAGGCUUAACACAUGCGAGUCGAACGGGCACUUCGGUGCUAGUGGCAGACGGGUGAGUAACACGUGGGAACGUACCUUUCGGUUCGGAAUAAUCCAGGGAAACUUGGACUAAUACCGGAUACGCCCUUCGGGGGAAAGAUUCAUCGCCGAUAGAUCGGCCCGCGUCUGAUUAGCUAGUUGGUGAGGUAAUGGCUCACCAAGGCGACGAUCAGUAGCUGGUCUGAGAGGAUGAUCAGCCACAUUGGGACUGAGACACGGCCCAAACUCCUACGGGAGGCAGCAGUGGGGAAUAUUGGACAAUGGGCGCAAGCCUGAUCCAGCCAUGCCGCGUGAGUGAUGAAGGCCUUAGGGUUGUAAAGCUCUUUUGUCCGGGAAGAUAAUGACUGUACCGGAAGAAUAAGCCCCGGCUAACUUCGUG